UUACGAUGUAGACUAAAGAUUUAAGUGCCGUAACACAGGAUCAUACAAGAAAUAUGCCGGUACGGUACGGCACUUUGCGUAUCAGACUGUAUCAAUGUGUACCGGUCACAAAAAAUUCAUGUGUCAACACAUAAUAGUAUGAAAUAUUUCUUUUUUAGCAACAAAAUAUUUUAACUACUUAUUAUAUAUUUUUAUUAAAUUUUUUGAACUUUACUGAUAAAAUUACUUACUAAUUUAAAGAACAGAGGAUUUUGUAUUGUACCGAUAUCUUAUUGGUACGAUAUGACCAAUGCCGAUGAGCACUUAAAUUCUUAAU
rnacentral:lncRNA from 1 species